rnacentral:rRNA from 1 species
GUAGGGAAUCUUCCACAAUGGACGCAAGUCUGAUGGAGCAACGCCGCGUGAGUGAAGAAGGUUUUCGGAUCGUAAAGCUCUGUUGUUGGUGAAGAAGGAUAGAGGCAGUAACUGGUCUUUAUUUGACGGUAUCAACCAGAAAGUCACGGCUAACUACGUGCCAC